rnacentral:lncRNA from 1 species
AAGAAAAAGUAGCUCCUCCUCCUGUCCUCGCCGCGUCGAAAUGUCGACGGCUUUCAAUUCCCGAUCAAAUUUACAAGGGAAUCCGUGGUAGCUCUUUCAAUUCUCCUGGCUCCGCCGCUCCUCUGGUAAUUUCUCCGAGGUUAGCUCGUCUGCUACAAUGAAAUCGGCAAUCGUCUGGGGAAUCAGCAGCUCCUGCGACGGCCACAUCUUCGCCGUACAUCCGUGGAUAAGGAAGAAGAGAUUCGAACCUGGAUAAUCUAUGAAGCGAACAAAGACAGACAGAACUUGGAGCGUCAAAUCUUCCUAUCCAGCAAGGAUCUCAUUUGAUGUUUCGAAACUCCAGGCGACCCUCGAGCUAUGCUCUUCCACAGGAUAAUACAAAAUGUAUUUGACCUUGGCUUGGAAGUUCUGCAGAACAUUUAAUUGUUUUUGUAGCUCUCUCUGUCUCUGUCUUUUCUUGAUGAGACCACCGGACCAGACACCCUGCUGUUAAUACAUUUACCUGGAAGAGAGUGGAAUCGGAAUCAUAGAAUCGCUUCAGUUCUCAACGCCUUGAGUUACUACUCUUCUUGCUCAUAAAUCAGAAGGGUUUCAAUGUACAAGGUCGAUUGAUGUUUGCUCGCUCCACAAACUCAGAAGCCUCUAUUGAUGAAAUUGCAGACGAUUUUGGAAGACUCAAAUGAUGAUGAUUGGUGGUGAGGCUACCUCGCUAGUGUAUCAAUUGUUUUCUCAAAAGCUUUAAAACGUUGAAAAUAAGCAUAAUUCCACAGGUUUAUAUUUGUAUUUGCACUUCUCUGAGAAUAGUGGAGGUUUCAGUUGUUAAUGAGUGUAUUUGCUGCCUUUAAUCACAAGUUUUUUCUUAACUUUUCUAAGUAAGCAUUCACAGAGUUUGUAAUAUAUCUCUUUAAUUACAUUACCUUAAGAACAAGAUGCAUUUUCAGAGCCAUAAAGUUGAAUCAUUAUAUGCACACAAAAGACUUUCAACUUUGGUCACAAUUACUCUACUACACGCCUUUGCUUAAGCUUGGAGUACAGAUAUCUGAACAUUUGGGGAAGCUUUUCCUUCAAGUCUCCGAAGUUCAGUGGCAAUGUCGUAAAGAGCGGUAACGCUAUCUUCUGUUUGCCCAUAUAUUUUCACUUGUUGGAGAUGUAGCAUUCUCAUCAAAAACCACCGUACUUGCUCACCAAAUCGGGCUGCAUCCUCAGUAACUUCUCCUCUCUUUUUCCCAACAACUCCUUCGUAUAUCUCUAGGUGAGUAACAGGAGAUUUUACUAGGUAAGAGAUUGCCUGCUCCAUGUUCCUCCUGCAGGGACACACAUCACCACACACAUCUGUGGCUAAGUGGAAAAGCCC